rnacentral:tRNA from 1 species
UCCCUGGUGGCUCAGCAGUAAAGAAUCUGCCUGCAAUGCAGGAGACCCGGGUUUGAUCCCUGGGUGGGGAA